UACGGAGGGUGCAAGCGUUGUCCGGAUUUAUUGGGUUUAAAGGGUGCGUAGGUGGCUAUUUAAGUCAGUGGUGAAAGUCUGCAGCUCAACUGUAGAAUUGCCAUUGAUACUGAAUAGCUUGAGUAUUGAUGAGGUAGGCGGAAUUGAUAGUGUAGCGGUGAAAUGCAUAGAUAUUAUCAAGAACACCGAUUGCGAAGGCAGCUUACUAAGGAAUAACUGACACUGAGGCACGAAAGCGUGGGGAGCAAACAGG
rnacentral:rRNA from 1 species